rnacentral:rRNA from 1 species
AACGAACGCUGGCGGCAUGCCUAACACAUGCAAGUCGAACGAGACCUUCGGGUCUAGUGGCGCACGGGUGCGUAACGCGUGGGAACCUGCCCUUAGGUUCGGAAUAACUCCCCGAAAGGGGUGCUAAUACCGGAUAAUGUCUUCGGACCAAAGAUUUAUCGCCUUUGGAUGGGCCCGCGUUGGAUUAGCUAGUUGGUAGGGUAAAAGCCUAACAAGGCGACGAUCAGUAGCUGGUCUGGGAGGAUGAUCAGCGACACUGGGACUGAGACACGGCCCAGACUCCUACGGGAGGCAGCAGUGGGGAAUAUUGGACAAUGGGCGAAAGCAUGAUCCAGCAAUGCCGCGUGAGUGAUGAAGGCCUUAGGGUUGUAAAGCUCUUUUACCCGGGAUGAUAAUGACAGUACCGGGAGAAUAAGCUCCGGCUAACUCCGUG